UUGUCUUACCAGUAAAGUGGGCCAUGGUCUCUGCCCUUCAUGUCUAAAGUUGUCAUAACCACAGCACAGGCAAGUCUCACUCCUGGCCCUCUGCCACAUAGCCUAAGUGAGCCCGACCAUCUGGAUUUUGUCAUCUGUAAUAUGGGAAUAAAGACCUCAGCCUAGGGACUGGUGGGACCUGGUCAGGCACAUUAACAACCCUCACAUCUGGGGCCUGGAGGUGUUCGGGUGUAGGUGGAUGGCGGGGUAGGAAGGAACACCCCACCUAGCGUAAAAUACCUGUUCUCAAUUUUGACUGACCUUUAGGAGCUCCUGGGUCCCACCCAAGACUGAUGUCUGCCAGGUGAGGGCUGGUAGUGCCCUGACAACACCAUGUUUCUGCUUGUCUUGGGGUGAUUGGGGCUUCCUGUAGGUGACAACCCAGGCCUAGACAGUGAUGCUUGAGAACAGCUGAGACCUGGAGUGCCAGCUAAAGGCUGUCACUUCAGGCCUCAGUUGAGUUUCAUUUUUGUCAGUUGCCCCCUCCUCCCUAAGGCCAGGCCACCACCAUCUUUCUGGUCUACCCUGUGUCCACUCCUGGAGGAGGAAGGGAGGAGGAAGCUUCCUGAAGCUCAAACUAGGCAGUUUUAUGUCCAGGUCCCAGGCCUUCUCUGUACUUAAUAGGAACCCUCCCACCCCCCACCCUUGACCUCAGGCCUGCACCAGACUCCCACCUCAGGGCCUUUUGCACAGGCCCCCCUCUUCAAAGCAGUUCACACAGAACCUGUGGGUGCCAGUGACUUGAAUUCUCCAGUGUCAGAACCUGAGUUCAAAUCCCACUCUUGUCACAACCUUGUGGCAUUAGAUGAUGGCUAUCAGCUAUCACUUCUUGGAUUCAAUUUUCUUUAUAUUAGUGGGGAUGGGAUGUGAGGAAGUGAAGUCGGGUUUUGUUUUUUUUUCUCUGUACGCGGGCCUCUCACUGUUGUGGCCUCUCCCGUUGCGGAGCACAGGCUCGGCAGCCAUGGCUCACGGGCCCAGCCGCUCCGCGGCAUGUGGGAUCUUCCCGGACCGGGGCACGAACCCGUGUCCCCCGCAUCGGCAGGCGGACUCUCAACCACUGCGCCACCAGGGAAGCCCUGAAGUCGGGUUUUGACAUAGCUGCAUAGAAACAAGCCGAAGGACAGCCUUGCUGUAUACAGAACCGUACAUUUAAGGUCGAAAACGUUAAGGCAGGCGCCGGUCGGGAACAAGCACAGGGGUGGAGGUGGGUGGAGGGUGUCAGGCCUGAGAAGCCCCCAGUCUUCGCUCCCCAUUUUUCCCCCGGGGUCUCCAGGUUAGCUGGCCGCCACAAGCUGGCUCCAGAGGCCUCCGGGCCUGCAGGGGGCGCCAGGCGCAGCGGAGCAACCUGCUCCAGGGUGGGACCAGAGCUGCGCAGUCAUGAUCAUCACUGAGGCCGCGGCAGAGUCUGCUGUCCCCGCGGUGCCCGGUGAUGCGGAAACCACUGGAGCCCCGGAGCGCGAGCAGCUGGUGUGGCCCUGGAAAGAUGCCGCGAUACGGGCGCUGGUGCAGCGCAUCCACCAGUUGCAGGCUGAGCGCGCGCAGGCCUUCCGCCGGCUGGAGGACCUCAGGAUCCCCGCCUGCCGCAGAGGCCACCGACAGUACCUGAGCAACGGCCCGCCCUACGACUUUCCGCGCUACCGGAGCACAGUGCACGAGGUGACCCAGGCCUUCGCCGCCGCCUCGCAGGAGGUGCUGGCGGUGGAGGCCGAGCUAGCCGGACCCCGAGCGCAGCCGCUGCUCGCGAGCCACGUGCGCAGGCUGCAGCAGCUGGAGGAGACGCGCCUGGCCACGGUGGCCCUGCUGCAGCUGAUGGGGACACCAGAGCUGACUGGGCAGGACAACCUGCAGAUGCACCAGCUGAAGAUGAAGUGAGCACCGCCUCCCAGUGGGCUGACCAUGCUAGAUUUGCACAUGCACCCUUGGGCACCCACCCCCAGCCAGGGUAAUUAAAACCAUGGAAGCGAUCAGCGAGGUUCUCCAGGAUCUCAGGUUUGAUGCAGAAUCUGCCGAGUGAUGGUGGCUCCCCAGGGACAAGCCAAAGGAGAUGGGAAAUGGGAAAUACAGCGCUCUGCCCUGACUGCCAGCUGGCUGGGGUCAUGCCCCACCGGACCACUGACCCUCUUCAAGUUCGCCUCACCUCUCAUAAUAAAGAACAUAAAGAACCUUU